rnacentral:lncRNA from 1 species
GGUUAAUUACUUGUAAAGAAUAAGGAGCUGCUGGAGACCUGUCACACGUCCAGGAGAGCUUUGGAGUUUACCUCUUCGCAGUCUGGAGCAAAAUGAAAGAGCUUAUGUCGAGGCCUCCCAAGCAGUGCUGCUACAGACCAUGAACAAGAGAGGAGGAGGAGACCUCAGCCUGCACGAAUGAUCCUGAAACACAAAUGGUCUUGGGUCUACGCUUUUCACAUUGACCUUCUCUGCUGCCUCCCCUUCUGCUCAAGCAAAAUCUGUCUGAGAAGAUCUGAUGGGAAGGAACUAACUGCUUAGGACUCUCCCUUGUGAUGAAAGCACAUGUACAGGUGGAGCUAAAGAAUGAUCUGCUCCUCCAGUGUGGUGAUGGUGAUACAAAAUAAAGCCAAACAAAUCACUGCUUUCCU